rnacentral:rRNA from 1 species
UGAGGAACAUGACCUUCGGCGGGGGAUAGCCGGCCCAACGGCCGGGUAAUACCGCGUACGACCACAUGGGGACAUCCCUGAGUGGUGAAAGCAGCAAUGCGCCGAUGGAGUGCCUCGCGGCCUAUCAGCUAGUUGGUGAGGUAACGGCUCACCAAGGCGACGACGGGUAGCUGGUCUGAGAGGAUGGCCAGCCANAUUGGGACUGAGACCACCGGCCCAAGACCUUCGUAACCGGGGA